rnacentral:tRNA from 1 species
UAGCCUAGUGAUUAAGGCUAAGGAUUGCCAAUCCGGAGACGGCGGGUUCGAUUCCCGU